UCCCCUUCAAAUAACAAUAAUAAUGUUAAAAUAAUCUUGUUAACUCGAAAAUUAAUUAAACAAGAUUUUGAUAUCUCGAAUUUUCUUAUCCAAAUUUAGAACUAAAUACAUGUAGAGUACCUACUAUACGCAUAAGAGUAUAAGACUAUAUCGUCUCCAAUAUAUUGGACAAUAAUAAAGAAGUCGAAGACCCGUAAAUAGAACCUUGUAGUAUCAUCACAAGUAAAAAAGUGACACUUGUUUUAGAAUAAUUACGUAACAAAAUCAAUGGAAAUUGAAGCCUGAAGGAUGAAUAAAUAAAAAUACAUUCAUGAUUUUACUUGAUAAAAUAUGAAAACAAUCAAUCAAUAGAUGUUAGAAAUUAUUGCACUAGAAGUUCAACUGUUAUUUGAAUCGCAAUAAUAUAUGAUGUAAUUGGAAUAUACCAAGUUAAUUAUCCUGAUGUAUUAUAAUAACAGAAACAGAUUGACAGCAGCAGGUGCCUGAUUGCGGUGUAAAUCGGUAGGUGGUGGAAUCGAUAGGUUGUUUUUUGACUACCCGUACUGGCAGAGUCGAUACUGGCGGAGUCGAUACUAAAUUGGCGGAGUCGAUACUAAAUUGGCAGAGUCGAUACUGGCGGAGUCGAUACUACAUUGGCAGAAUCGAUAGGUCCUCGUCAUUACCUAACGAUUAUUCGAUUAAUAGGAAAUCCAGCAAACGCACAACAGACGUAGACGGCCAAAUAGAAACGAGCCAACGAGUGACGGACACUGACCAGUGGGCAGUGACCGGCCGUCGGACUACGGAAAAAACCCCAACAACGACGCGCAUGCGUAAUAAUCGUGCAUGUACAUCUACAUUCUGACUUGUAUUAAUAAUUCAUCACUUAUUGAAAUGUAACCACUAUAAAUAAUAUUAUUUAAAUAUCA